AGUGAACGCUGGCGGCGUGCUUAACACAUGCAAGUCGAACGAGAACGGAAUAUAGCUUGCUAUAUUUGUCAGCUAAGUGGCGCACGGGUGAGUAAUGUAUAGAUAACCUGCCCUUAAGAAAGGAAUAACAGUUGGAAACGACUGCUAAUGCCCUAUAUGCCUUUACUACAUAGGUAUGCAAGGGAAACGCUUUAGUGCUUAAGGAUGGGUCUGUAUGGUAUCAGCUUGUUGGUGAGGUAAUGGCUCACCAAGGCUAUGACGCCUAACUGGUUUGAGAGGAUGAUCAGUCACACUGGAACUGAGACACGGUCCAGACUCCUACGGGAGGCAGCAGUGGGGAAUAUUGCACAAUGGACGAAAGUCUGAUGCAGCAACGCCGCGUGGAGGAUGACACAUUUCGGUGCGUAAACUCCUUUUAUAUAGGAAGAUAAUGACGGUACUAUAUGAAUAAGCACCGGCUAACUCCGUGCCAGCCGCCGCAGUAA
rnacentral:rRNA from 1 species